rnacentral:rRNA from 1 species
GAUGAACGCUGGCGGUAUGCUUAACACAUGCAAGUCGAACGGUCUCUUCGGAGAUAGUGGCGGACGGGUGAGUAACGCGUGAGAAUCUAGCUCUAGGUCUGGGACAACCACUGGAAACGGUGGCUAAUACCGGGUGUGCCGAAAGGUGAAAGGUUAACUGCCUGGAGAUGAGCUCGCGUCUGAUUAGCUAGUUGGUAGGGUAAAAGCUUACCAAGGCGACGAUCAGUAGCUGGUCUGAGAGGACGAUCAGCCACACUGGGACUGAGACAC